rnacentral:misc_RNA from 1 species
AUCUUUUUUUUAUAUAUAUCAUAAUUUUUUUUUUAAAGAGUGGGAUGUUUUAAAUACGAAAAUGGACGCAAAAACCUCGCGAAACGCGAGGUUCGCCAUAAUUUGUAAUGAUCCUUCCGCAGGUUCACCUACGGAAA